rnacentral:rRNA from 1 species
UACGUAGGGGGCAAGCGUUGUCCGGAUUUAUUGGGCGUAAAGCGCUCGCAGGUGGUUCGAUGCGUCGUGCGUGAAAGACCCCGGCUCAACUGGGGAGUGUCGUGCGAUACGGGCAGACUAGAGGUAGGCAGGGGAGAGCGGAACUCCUGGUGUAGCGGUGGAAUGCGCAGAUAUCAGGAAGAACACCGGUGGCGAAGGCGGCUCUCUGGGCCUUACCUGACGCUGAGGAGCGAAAGCGUGGGUAGCGAACAGG